rnacentral:rRNA from 1 species
ACCCAGACCGCCAGCUAAGGUCCCAAAGUCAUGGUUAAGUGGGAAACGAUGUGGGAAGGCCCAGACAGCCAGGAUGUUGGCUUAGAAGCAGCCAUCAUUUAAAGAAAGCGUAAUAGCUCACUGGUCGAGUCGGCCUGCGCGGAAGAUGUAACGGGGCUAAACCAUGCACCGAAGCUGCGGCAGCGACGCUGAUGCGUUGUUGGGUAGGGGAGCGUUCUGUAAGCCUGUGAAGGUGUGCUGUGAGGCAUGCUGGAGGUAUCAGAAGUGCGAAUGCUGACAUAAGUAACGAUAAAGCGGGUGAAAAGCCCGCUCGCCGGAAGACCAAGGGUUCCUGUCCAACGUUAAUCGGGGCAGGGUGAGUCGACCCCUAAGGCGAGGCCGAAAGGCGUAGUCGAUGGGAAACAGGUUAAUAUUCCUGUACUUGGUGUUACUGCGAAGGGGGGACGGAGAAGGCUAUGUUGGCCGGGCGACGGUUGUCCCGGUUUAAGCGUGUAGGCUGGUUUUCCAGGCAAAUCCGGAAAAUCAAGGCUGAGGCGUGAUGACGAGGCACUACGGUGCUGAAGCAACAAAUGCCCUGCUUCCAGGAAAAGCCUCUAAGCAUCAGGUAACAUCAAAUCGUACCCCAAACCGACACAGGUGGUCAGGUAGAGAAUACCAAGGCGCUUGAGAGAACUCGGGUGAAGGAACUAGGCAAAAUGGUGCCGUAACUUCGGGAGAAGGCACGCUGAUAUGUAGGUGAAGUCCCUCGCGGAUGGAGCUGAAAUCAGUCGAAGAUACCAGCUGGCUGCAACUGUUUAUUAAAAACACAGCACUGUGCAAACACGAAAGUGGACGUAUACGGUGUGACGCCUGCCCGGUGCCGGAAGGUUAAUUGAUGGGGUCAGCGCAAGCGAAGCUCUUGAUCGAAGCCCCGGUAAACGGCGGCCGUAACUAUAACGGUCCUAAGGUAGCGAGAUUCCUUGUCGGGUAAGUUCCGACCUGCACGAAUGGCGUAAUGAUGGCCAGGCUGUCUCCACCCGAGACUCAGUGAAAUUGAACUCGCUGUGAAGAUGCAGUGUACCCGCGGCAAGACGGAAAGACCCCGUGAACCUUUACUAUAGCUUGACACUGAACAUUGAGCCUUGAUGUGUAGGAUAGGUGGGAGGCUUAGAAGUGUGGACGCCAGUCUGCAUGGAGCCGACCUUGAAAUACCACCCUUUAAUGUUUGAUGUUCUAACGUUGACCCGUAAUCCGGGUUGCGGACAGUGUCUGGUGGGUAGUUUGACUGGGGCGGUCUCCUCCUAAAGAGUAACGGAGGAGCACGAAGGUUGGCUAAUCCUGGUCGGACAUCAGGAGGUUAGUGCAAUGGCAUAAGCCAGCUUGACUGCGAGCGUGACGGCGCGAGCAGGUGCGAAAGCAGGUCAUAGUGAUCCGGUGGUUCUGAAUGGAAGGGCCAUCGCUCAACGGAUAAAAGGUACUCCGGGGAUAACAGGCUGAUACCGCCCAAGAGUUCAUAUCGACGGCGGUGUUUGGCACCUCGAUGUCGGCUCAUCACAUCCUGGGGCUGAAGUAGGUCCCAAGGGUAUGGCUGUUCGCCAUUUAAAGUGGUACGCGAGCUGGGUUUAGAACGUCGUGAGACAGUUCGGUCCCUAUCUGCCGUGGGCGCUGGAGAACUGAGGGGGGCUGCUCCUAGUACGAGAGGACCGGAGUG